CCUACGGGAGGCAGCAGUGAGGAAUAUUGGUCAAUGGACGAGAGUCUGAACCAGCCAAGUAGCGUGAAGGAUGACUGCCCUAUGGGUUGUAAACUUCUUUUAUAUGGGAAUAAAAUGUUCCACGUGUGGGAUUUUGUAUGUACCAUAUGAAUAAGGAUCGGCUAACUCCGUGCCAGCAGCCGCGGUAAUACGGAGGAUCCGAGCGUUAUCCGGAUUUAUUGGGUUUAAAGGGAGCGUAGGUGGAUUGUUAAGUCAGUUGUGAAAGUUUGCGGCUCAACCGUAAAAUUGCAGUUGAAACUGGCGGUCUUGGGUACAGUAGAGGUGGGCGGAAUUCGUGGUGUAGCGGUGAAAUGCUUAGAUAUCACGAAGAACUCCGAUUGCGAGGGCAGCUCACUGGACUGCAACUGACACUGAGGCUCGAAAGUGUGGGUAUCAAACAGGAUUAGUACCCGAGUAGUC
rnacentral:rRNA from 1 species